CUGUGGUGACCGUGCGAGGGUGUAGGACUUUAGGAGGCAGGCAAGAUUGCUGCACAAUGGGGCAUCGCCUCCCGGGGAUCAGUGCAGUUCCACCAGACUCCGUGUUGGAUGUGAAGCCCCAAAUGCCAUCUGUGGACCCAGAGUUGCGCAGCACACCUCGAACAGCACAGGAGCUGACGAUCAGGGCUCCUCCACCGAGUGCAUGGAUGGCGUGAGCAGAGCUGGUGAGUUCUGAGGUCAGAGUCGCCAUUCAUGCCCUUUGUUCUCCCAAUGCUUAGCAUCCUAUGCCACACAGCAGCUCCCCAGGAAACACUGAA
rnacentral:lncRNA from 1 species